GCUGACACAGUCGAAGAGCUCAGGACCACUGCGAAAGCAGUCUCUCCAACCUCGACUCUGCCUGAAGUUGCUGGCAAACUGGGCCGUCUCUCCCUCUAGCCCCAACCUAUUCCUCAACAGAGAUCUCCAAGUUCAGAAGAGGCUGAGUUCAGGAGCAGCCCAGGUGUGUGUGUGCAGCUCGACAUCUUGGAUGUUUACGAGAAUACUGAAUUACACUCUAGAAUUGAUCUGGGUUUGUUUCAAAACGUUUCCUCUUCAAAACUGUCGACUGUCAUCUACAUUCCGGGAAGAGGUGCCCGGCAUGGGGAGGGUGGU
rnacentral:lncRNA from 1 species